rnacentral:lncRNA from 1 species
CACCAGCUAUCUCCUGCUCCCUGUCCUGCACUGCAAAGGAGGCCUUUUCAUCCUCUCUACUGCCUCCAAUUUUUCUCACGAGGAAUGUGAGAGGAAAACCUAGAGCUUGUUCCUGAAGCAUGGUGCUAAGUCCAUAUGCAGCAGAUGGAGCUCAUGAGAAAAGAGUUGCUCUUGUGAAGACCAAAGCUUGGAGGAGAUUGCAGAUGGAGGUGUUGUAUGUGACUGUUUUACAUGGAUUCUUCGCUCUGGUAGCAGAUGUUGAAGAAGCUCUAUGAAUGUCCUGUCUCUAUGUCCCAGUUUGUCAGUUUCAAAUACUCAUGUAUCUGAUUGUCAAUGCUGGAGAGCUGGGGCCAGGGCAGUAGUUGAUGAAUAUCACCUGACUGUCUCCUGCAGAAAAAGCAUUCCCAGAAGCACGGAGAAGUGAGGAGAAAAGGCAAUGCACCUGGAGCUGGAGACCAAGGCCCUGUUCUUACUGAUGGCCCUUGGAGCAGAUAUUUGAAUUGGAGAGAUAAAACCGUGGUUUUUGGGGUGUUAAUUUUGGUGGCUGAUGCAUUCUGUGAUUGAUUUGGCUAUUACAACUGGUAUUGAUUUUAAACACAUUAAUUGCAAAAUCUCAAUUGUGAUUUGAUUUCUGUAUUUACAAUACUAAAAACGAGGCUUUCGCCAGGAGAAGACAAUUGGCAGUACUCAGUUGGAAGUGCUUAAUUGUUAAUAUAUAUCAGCCGUGGUUCUUCAGCGUCGUCAGUGUUGCUCAGUCUUGCUCUUUGUGGCGACUACUGAAUGCUUGAAAAAUUCUCUCCUAUACUCCCACUCUGCACUGUAGAAGAGAAAGAGAGGAGAGUGGAAGAAAAAAGAGAGGGAGAGGAGAAAGAAAGAGAGGAGAGAGAAACAUGGGCAUGGAUGAUACAUAAGAUAAUUCCAGAAGAUUUCAGCAUAGCAGAUAAAAUACAGCAAAUCCUAACCAGCACAGGUUUGAGUGACAAACGGGCCGGUUCCAUGGACACAGGUGACUUCAUCAGGUAUUUUCAUAAGUGUUUACAUGUCUUUACUGUGACACCUUCAGAUUAGAG